AAAUUUCUAGAAUUAAUAUACCAAAGGAAACUUCUAAUGAAAAUAUAAAAACGAAAAAUCUUUUUUUUUAUUUGUAUCACAUCUUUUUUAAAUACAAAAUAAGAAGUACAAUAACAAAUGACUCAACAAACUUAACUAGACUAAUGACAGACCCUAACAUCACCUAAAAGGCUCGUCAUUACUUUAAGAAGACGACAUAAAAAGAAAAACAAACUCAAAAUAUAAAAAUAUAUCCCUAAGCCACUUCUGAAUGAAUGGUCCUGACUAGAUGGUCCUGGGGCAUCUGUCAUGAUCAAACGUCGGUAAGUAAAUUCGCACCUGUUUGAGAAAUUAAGACCAAAUAAAGUAAAAGACCUAGAACACUAUGUGAGACAAUAACCCUUCCUGUCAUACACAUGCAAGACAUGAUUGUGACUUUUUUUCUAAAUUUAAUCUAUGUGACUAAAAAGUUGCUAAACUGCAAGAUUUGACUAAGACGCUGCGAAGCCAAUAACCUAAGAUCACUAGGAAGACCGGACCCUAUGUGGGCUACCUAUGUAUCAUGCCCCGAAAAAUGAGAACCAGGUAUGCAUAGUUCGAGAAGAUUGGAUACGGUUCAAAAAAAAUUUUAAAAAAAUAGCUACUUUAGAGAAAACAUAUUUUUCUUUUUCUUUUUUUGAAAAAUGAUGAAACAUGUAAACUCUUUUUGGAGUCCUUUUUUUCCUUUUUUGGAGUUUUGUUUUCCUUCCUUUUUGGUUUUUUUUCAGAAAAUGAUGGGAAAGUGCAAAAAAAAUUGAAUUUUUCAUGUUUUUUUCUUUUUCUUAACAAAAAUGUGAAAGAAAACAUACUUGGGCCCUACUUGCUUUAUUUUCACACUUUAUCCUCUUUUCUCACUAUUUGCCCUCAACCAUUAUUGGUCUGCCAAAUGACCCUUUUUACCCAUGAAAAAUGAAACAUGUAGCACAUAAGAUGCAUCAGGAUAGUCUUUUAUUUUUGGGUACACUUGUCCUAGCCAGACCCAACCCUUGCAUUGACUCCCAUAGUCAAGUGCACGCGACGCAAACAAGCGUUAGUACUAGGGAUUCGACAUGAUGUUAUGUUACUCUAGCUUUAAACCUGGGCUUGUGUUCUAGACCUGGUUUACCCAAGCGGCCUUCUCGAGCCGAGGUGAGGGCAACGUACCAGGAGCACGAAAGUAUACCUGACCUUGUUGCUAACUCAAGCCUCAUUCUAAUUGGUAUGUCUUCUAACAGAAAGUGGGCCACACGUACGUGUGCACCAUAUUUUAGAAGACUCAGAGGGUGGCAUAAAAGUCAUUUUAAUAAAAUUUAAAUAAUAUCGAAAUGGUAAAUAAACAGAAAUUAGCACUUUAGGCUUACAAAAUACAAUAAUAUUAACAAUAAAUAAAGCCAAAUAAAAUCAUAUUAAAAAGCUCGAAUUCUUGAACCCUGAACCAGAGAUUCUGGGUUCUUAUCCCCAACAGAGUCGCCAAAGCUGUCACACUAUCCCGAGAGGGUGUAUAGAAGAGUUUUUUCAGUUAAAGUGACAAUCGAAACUGGAUUAUUUAUUCAAGUUCAUAUUCACCACUUGGGAUAGUUUAUGGUGUUUUAAAUCACCGGUUUAAAAUCCUGAAUCGAGAAAGUUUGACUUUGUUUUACAGUCUACGAACACAGAAAUCCAGGUGAGGAAUUCCGUUAACCCGGGAGAAGGUGUUAAGCAUUCCCAAAUUUUCGUAGUUUUAGCACGGCCGCUUUAAUCAUACUUGGCUUAAUUAAAUUAUCUAAUUAUUAAUUUUAGUACCUAGGUGCAUUUACCUCUUUUAAUUAAUAAAUUAUCCUAAAACAUAUCACGCGCACGUGUACCCAUUUGUUUGGCGCGUCAAGAAUCAUGUCAUGGUUAUGUGUCCACAAUUCCUAAUUAUUUAUUAUUAUUAAGAAAAUUUGGCCGAAGUUCACGAACGUCUACCUCGGUUCAUUUUUAAAAAUCAUCAUAAUUAUGUCACACAAUCAGGAUGAUUUAUUAAGUCGCGCUUAAAGUAUGUCUACGAAUGUUUAUAAAUUAUUUUCCUAAACUACUUUGAGAUUAACCUAAGGCUAUAGAUUAUGGAAAUUAUUAUAGAGUAUCAAGUGGAUUAAUUAUGAAAAUACGUAGGCUUAUAGACUAACAUGGAAAUGGGAUAACUCUACAAAUAGAUAAACAGUAUAUCAUGGGCAUAGGCCCAAAAUUUCUUUCCCUUCGAGAUUAAACCCAUAACCAUUAUUCAAGUUAUUAACUGGCAGAAAUAAUUAACAAAUUAAACAAUUGAUGACCAAAACAACACAAGAUCCUAACAUAAUUACAGUAUUUAACAUUAAAGACAUUACCCUAAAUCUUAUGUUAAGAAACUAGCUAAGACAAAUGAAUCAAAGUUUCAAUGAGUCGAAGGCAAAUUGGUCGAACUCAGAAUGAAGCUAUUACCUAAAAAUUACAUUUUUUUUUCAUUCACUUGCGUUCAAAUAUUAUCAAACCAUUAAACAAAACAUGAUAGAAUAUCAAUCAACAAAAUAGGGCAUCAAGCAACCAAGCAGAGCAUCCAAUACCUAUUUCGAGCACAAAUCAAUACUAAGGAAAGAAACAAUAAGAGAAAAGAUGGACCUGAAAUGUGCUUUCCUUUAACGAGUGUUCCAAUUGUUACACCAACAGAAUAGGGCCACCAUUAUAAUCGGGCCUCAAGACAACAAUAAAACUCAGUUGGUGCCAUAAACCUCACCUCGAUCGGCACUGGUAGAAACUCGAACCAACUCAAACUCAAACGACGCGGCCAGACUCGAAUCAGAUUCGAAUCCUCAAUUAAUCUCCAUAGACGAAACUACUGUCCGAAUUUUUUGUCCAAAUUUUUUUCCCUUUCUCGCUAUCUAUGUGUGUGUGCGUGUUUUCUUUACUUUUCUUUUUAGUUGAGAAAAAGAAGAUGAAAAAGUCAGAAGGGGAAGGUGGCUUUCCGGCGGGUUUGAGGCGGUGAUGGAGCGGUUACUGACUGGAUUUUGGCUGAAGAGAGAUCUCUUCUUUUGUUUUUUUAUUUUAAUCGUGAAAAAAGAAAAGUUCUGGGN
rnacentral:lncRNA from 1 species